UUAUUUCGGACUACGCUAAUAGUCUAAGUCCUUAGCUGGACUACGUUAUUUUGGUCAAGACACCUACGGAUACUCCUCAAGUCUGUAGCCCUGUC
rnacentral:sRNA from 14 species